UUACAAAAGGUUUUAAAAAGAUUUACAAGAGUUUUUAAAC
rnacentral:sRNA from 1 species